rnacentral:lncRNA from 1 species
CUUUACUCCACUCACUGCCUGCAGCUGCGCCUCACUUCCUCGUGAUGACCCCGCUUGUGCUACUGCUGCUAUUGAUGUUGUUGCUGCUGUUGGAUCUGCGUGCAUGCUAACAUGAGAGCGUAAUGGAAUAACCUGCCGUGACGCCACGAUCUUCACACAUCACUCGUGUGCACGACGCCGCGACCCGCCCAGCACGUGGAGCAGCGUGUGUCUGGUGCCUGACCCUACCGCCUCCCACUUGAGUUUGGAAACAAUUUUAAUAUCCGAUGCAGUGUGAGCUGCACCAGACGCUGCCACCACGAACAGCCAUCACCACCACCACUGCCGCUCUUGCCGUUUCACCAUAGUGCCGCCCUACGCCCCUACCAGCGCUUCUCUUCACGCAGGGUGAUCUGCAGGGUUCCUAACUCACCUAGUGCCAAGUGCAAGUUACUUUGUGGUGGGAUGUCAUUCUUCUUUCAGGCGUUUCACCCUUAUCUGACAAGGUUACUGCCAUUCAGAAUUUCUCCACGCCCGUUACGGUCAAAUCCCUCCAAAAGUUUGUGGGGAUGAUCAACUUUUACCACUGUUUCCUGCCUGGGAUUGCAUCCACCAUGGCACCACUUUACGAAGUUCUGGCAGGCAAACCCAGGGAGUUGGUUUGGGGUUCCUCACAAGCACAGGCCUUGUGGGAGGUGAAACUCUCUCUUGCCUCAGCUACCCUCCUUGCUUAUCCAAUCCCUGGUAAGCCUCUCCUCGUCACCAAAGACGCUAGCAACAUCGGGAUUGGCAGUUUUGGAACAACUCAUCCAUGGACAGCCACGCCCUCUAUUGGGAUAUCUGUGCUUGUCUGUUGUCUUAUUGUGCUAUUGAUAUACAUAUGAGAGAGCAAGAUUAAAGUUGACAACUGCUGCAUAUCAUUCUGACCUGCAGACAGAAGAUUCUGAGGAUGAUGUCAGUAUCCGUUGUUCAAAAAGGAGGAGGAGAUCUCCUACCAGAUACACUGACCAUGAAAGUUCUGAAGAGGACUGCUUUAGUAGUUCAAGAGCUAAGACAAAGGCUUCAACAGCAACAGGGAAGUGGAUGUAAUAUCUGAAGGCCAGCAUGCAAGACCAGUUCCACCUAGACCAUCUGUACCGAGCUGUAUUGUCACAGCCACCACAGCCUUAAAGUCUAGAUAUAAACGGCUCGAGAUGUAAGAAUUUUUAUGGUGUUGGAAGAAUUACGCACUAUACUGCAUUCCCACUCCACCAAGCUGAAUACUAUCCUCAGACACCACAGUGUGCAGGAACAAGAUCAAGCAGUACCUGAGGGUAUUCACUUCCCAGUGAAGGAAAUCCAGAUAUGGAUGCCCUUGAAACCAAACUGAUGGAUCCUGACCUAGAGAAAAAGUUAUAAGUUAAGUGAACAGUUACAAUUUGUUAUUGAAUCCUUCAAAUUGCAGUAGAAAUAGGUGCAGGUUUUUGUAAAUUUAGGUCAAACUUUAUUUAAUUUGCAGUUUUGACAAACUAGUACAAGACUUGCUGGUAACCCUUGACACUAGAACCACAUACAUUUUUGGCCUAUGAUAUGAACUCAAAGUGAAUGCGGUGCUGUACAGUUUUUCAUGCAUCCUUCACUUGCAUACUACUGCAAAGUUUCCACUCUUUCAGAUUGCCAGUCUGUGUGUAAUAGGUGGAUCAGGCCUGCCAGACACAGUGAGGCGCAUUCUGCGACACAGUGUCCAACUCCCUGGCCAUCCACUUCAAUUGGUGUGGCAAAGGAAUGAAACAGAGCUUUUGCACAAUGAAGUUGAAGGAUACUAUAAUUAAAAGUGUCCGCAAGAAUGCAGAGCACAAGAGUGCAACAGCUGCCUAAAUUGAAAAAGUAAUGAAGGAGUGGUUUUGAACAGCCAGGGAUCGAGAUGGAGGCCGUCGGAGGAGAGAUGUAAGAAGUUGUUAGAGCAGUGAUACUGCUUAGACUUGCUGGCAUUGCAUAUUUUAAAGUUUUUUUUUCUCUCUCUCUCUCUCUCUCAUGUGUACUUUGCAUCAUAAAAUACUCAGUUUACGGGUACCAUGCCAGGCUUCCAUGCCACAGUGACCACACAUUCCAGUUUCCUUCCUCCAUGUAUCCUGAAGCUGUCAUGCCACAUCUCCAUUCACCUGUAUCCCUUUGAAGUGCUUCCACACUUCUUAAUGAUCUGCCUACUCCAUAUGCACACCUUAUCACAUCCCACAUAGCCCCGAGUUGGUCUAUUUACAUGCCUUCUCCCCAUUUAUAAAUGCCUGUAUCUUAAUUUCUUUCUCUUUGCUGUAAUGUUUCACCAGCACAUUCAAUAGUUAAUAAAAUGUUGCGGACAGCAUUGCUUUAAUGAGAGCCACUUUUAUUUAUAUAUUUUAUUUAUUUUUUAUAAUUACUCUUUAUGUAGGAUGUAGGGAUAUGAUAAUUAUGGUAUUAAUUAUGUAAACACUGAGUUUAGGAAUAAAAUUCAGGAUAGAUAACAGUAUUUUUGCACUAACACCAGCACAAAGAAAUUAGUCAUUUAUUAAUGUUUGUUUUCAUGGAAAUGAUUAAUACUGCUGUUACUGAGAAUUAUAUUAGUGAAAGAAUAUUCUGUAUCAAGGAAGUAAUUUUUAUAGUUACACAUCAUGUACAGUAUUGCCAAAGAGUGUGUGU